CGGUAGGGGAGCGUUCUAAGGGCGCUGAAGAUAGAUCGUGAGGACUAUUGGAGCGCUUAGAAGUGAGAAUGCCGGUGUGAGUAACGUAAGGCUGGUGAGAAUCCAGCCCACCGAUCGACCAAGGGUUCCGGGGUAAAGUUCGUCUCCCCCGGGUUAGUCAGGACCUAAGGCGAGGCAGAAAUGCGUAGUCGAUGGACAACAGGUUUAUAUUCCUGUACUGCCUAUAAGACUGAUGGAGUGACGGAGAAAGCUAGGAAGGGCCAGUUAUUGGAUUCUGGUCUAAGUGCGUAGGUCAUUGCGUAGGAAAAUCCGCGACAAUGUUAAGACUGAAACAUGAUGGCGUCUGUUCCCUCGGGAACAUAAGUCUUCUGAAGCUAUGCUUCCAAGAAAAACUUCUAAAGAUAUCUUAUAGGUACCUGUACCAAGAACCAACACAGGUGGUCAAGGAGAGAAUCCUAAGGUGAGCGAGAGAACUAUGGUCAAGGAACUCGGCAAAAUGACCCCGUAACUUCGGAAUAAGGGGAGGUGCUUUCGGGCACCCGCAGUGAAUUGUCCCAGGCAACUGUUUACCAAAAACACAGGUCUCUGCUAAAGCGCAAGCUGAUGUAUAGGGGCUGACGCCUGCCCAGUGCUGGAAGGUUAAGAUGAUUUGUUAGCUGGACGUAAGUCGAUAACAGCGAAGCUUUGAUUUGAAGCCCCAGUGAACGGCGGCCGUAACUAUAACGGUCCUAAGGUAGCGAAAUUCCUUGUCAGGUAAGUUCUGACCCGCACGAAAGGCGUAAUGAUCUGGGAGCUGUCUCGACCAUAGACUCGGUGAAAUCUUAAUACCUGUGAAAAUGCAGGUUACCCGCGAUAGGACGGAAAGACCCCAUGGAGCUUUACUGUAGCUUGAUAUUGGAAUCAGAUAAUUUUUGUAGAGGAUAGGUGGUAGGCUUUGAAGUGUAGACGCCAGUUUACAUGGAGCCACCCUUGGAAUACCACCCUGAAGUUGUUUGAUUUCUAACUCGCACCCAUUAUCUGGGUGGAGGACAGUGUCUGGUGGGCAGUUUGACUGGGGCGGUCGCCUCCCAAAGAGUAACGGAGGCGCCCAAA
rnacentral:rRNA from 1 species